GUUGUAAUGCAGUUGGAUAUUAUUCUGUCUUUCAGGCUUUUCCCAUUUGAGACUGUGUGGCCAUCACUCUUUGCUGCUGUGGAGUCAUCAGUCUUUGCUGCCAAUCUCUGUUGCCACUCGGCUGUGUAGUCAUCAGUCUUUGCUGCCAAUCUCUGUUGCCACUCAGCCUUUCUCAUUGUGUGGGAACACCCGACUGUGUGGCCACUUGUGCUGUGAAUCGCCCCUGGCUCUCAGCCUUUCCGAUUGGAGGCUGUGAGGCUUACGUUUGACCUUGGGUCAGCUUUGGCGAACUGUUGGCACUUUGUGCUGUC